rnacentral:tRNA from 1 species
UAGCUCAGUCGGUUAGAGCAUGGUGCUGAUAACACCAAGGUCGCGGGUUCGAUCCCCGU